GCGGAAUAGAUCUCUUAAUGCUGCCUAUUUCAGCAACAGUAUGUGUCUCAUCAACAUAUUCUUUAAUGAACUGAGUCGGCAAACAAACACUCAACAAGAAGCUUAUGGGUUUUAUAGUCUUCUUUGUGACAUCGGUGGCUCUCUUGGUAUGUGGAUAGGAGGGAGUAUUCUUACCCUCUGCGAGGUUCUCGACAUCAUUGGUUAUUCUAUACACAAGGGAAGAUCGUCUUAAAGCGACACUGAACUUGACUGAAGUGAUGAACCUUCUGCCCUAGCAUACUGUUCACAGCCAUCUAUACACAGAGUUUGGCCAACCCUGUUCGAGUUGUACACAAUAUGGUGACUACUGCUUUAUUGGGCAAGCACAAAACAAAAGAAUAUACGCCAUGUUGUGACCCAGGGAAACCAAGUUGGCUAAACUUUGUAUAUAGAUGGCUCUGGUACUGUUCAUUGCACAGCGUCAUCUCAUGAUCAACUUGCCAACAGUGCGAAACCCAAUACCUAAUUUCCAAUUCGCAGACACAUGACUCGACGCGAAAACAGGUAUAGCUAGGGAAGCAGCGAAUUACGGGCUCAUAAUACUGCUGCAACUUAACUGAGAUGGCGCUAUAGGGGAUUUUGCAGUAGUACGAUUGUUUUCAUAACAUGUACAUGUAUAACCAGCAAAACUGUACAGAUUUGCGUCGUAUGUAGUAAAGGAAUACAUGACACUUUAUAAAGCAAUCAAUAUUGUAUUGAGAAAGCCUAGGUAUUUCUCCCAGAAUCUUUUCAUGCGAGUGAAUAAAAAGUCAAGGGAAAGUCUUGACUGGAGGAAGCAUUACUUUCUCUAAUCUUAAAGAUAAUUUGUCUACAAUGUAUGAGCAAGAAUCAAUAAUUAUAGGCCGUCCGAGAGUCCUGCAAAGGUCACUCCAGUUCACCUCUUAGAUUUGACACUUCCUUGGAAACAGACAGACAGACAAACAGACAAACACACACCAAAGCAUUUUGCCCAAGCUUUGCUGCCAAAGUUAUCGGGAUUUAGAAAUAUAGCAUUUUUACAUUCAAACAUAAAUCGCAUAACUAAGAUUUUUUUUACUUAGUUCAGUUCAAUUAUCAGUUUAAUCAAAG